rnacentral:lncRNA from 1 species
CCAUGUGACAACUAACCAGUAACUACUACUUCUGAAAACAAGCUAAGAGAAAGAACUAUUUCAGUCCCGUGUUUCUCAAGGAGAAAGAAUUAUUUACCUCUGGCAUUGAAAUGCUUUGGCCACCAAGUGAUGAGGCAUUGUUGCUAGUUCUUGAUUGCAUAGACUGUUGAGCUGAGAAAGGUGAAUACUGGAAGUCAAGUUCCCUCGCAUUUUGUGCUGUUUGUGCCAAUAAAGUGUUGGGAACUGAGUGUGAAUACCCCUGCUGAGAUAAAAACAUACAAGAACUAAUGUUAACAUUCAAGAAUUUCAUGGGAAUCACUUCAGAGAUUACUAAGCUACUCUUCCAGCAAAAAUAUAAAAAGCCUGAUUGCAUUUUAAAAAGAAAAUUGAGUAUCUUAGAAGCUAUCACAAACAACUAUGAUUUUCAAAACCCAUUGAAACAUGGUUCUGUUAUAAAAAAUAAACAUGUAGCUUACCAUCACAUUUGAUAAUGAAUCAAGAUUAUGCAUCUGAUUCUGUGAAUUUGUGUGUGAGGCAUCAUAUGCAGAAUUCAUCUGCUGCUGCUUAGCAUUUUCAUACGCAUACCCUUGCUCAGACUGGGUAAAUGUGUACUGGUGCUCCUGAGCGCCCUCAGAGUUUUCUUGCUUCAACACCUCUCGCCUCGUUUCUAAAGAAUCAUCAUAAUUUCCAGUAGCAGGUGUGUGGACCAUAUUUCCAUUGGUUGUACUUCCCAGAUGUUCAUCUCCAUAGAACUCAGUAUUUCUGCAAACAAGUAUGAUCAGUUGGUAAGUAUGAUAUAAAUGAAGUCCAUAAAAAGUUUGGAAAAAGUAAUCAGUAAACACGAAAUAUACCUUGCAUCUGAAUGUUCGAUUUGUGGAGCUACAUCAGAAGUCGCUUCUACGCUGUUGCUCAAAGGCCUUGAUCCAAAACCUCCAAAGCUUCCAAAACUUAAUUGCGCGCAUUCUUCUGUGUGAAUUAGCAAAUGGUUUGGAAUUACAACAGCAGGUCUAUCCUCUUCAUGUGAGACUUCUUGAUCAUGACUAUCUAGUUGUUGAAAACUGGCUGAACCAGAUGAAACAUCAUCUUCAUCUGAAAAGUAAUAAUGAGACAGUGAAUAAAAAAAAAACAUCAGAAACACCAAAAGAUCCUCAUAAGGUAUUGAUUUUCGAAUACUAUAUUUUGUAACAAAACAUCACAUAAUGAGAAUCACUCUACCGCCAAAAGAUAGUUGAGAAAGAAAACAGAGCAGGCAAAGUAUAGUAUAGUUUUAUGACAAACAAAACAGCAAAGAAGCUUUCAUUACCCCCCAGCAGAACUAUAAUCCCAUCUGUAUUCACAUGAUCAAUAAACACAAGCCCACUCCAAAAUGAAACAGGAAAAAGAAUUUGAACAUAAUGGCACACACUAGCAAUAAAUGGGAAACAUUUUAUAAAGAUUCAAAAUAUUACCUUUGUGGUGCUCUACUGGAUGGCUCUGUGUCUGAUAUGGAUUAUCAUCAAUUUCUGACGAAACUACAGAUUCAUCUUCUUGAACAGAGUCGGCUUGCACAUGAUCGACCCCACGACUUUCAGACGGGCCACUUUCUGCUAUAUGAAUAUUUUCUAACCGGUCCUUCAGAUAUUGAUCUCCUCUAUCGGAUUGGAAAUCAGCUAGACCAUUGCGUACUUCUGAUUCUGCUGGUGCUACUGAUAAAGAAGAUGUACUAGGAGCCAGCGGCUUCUCAAUCGACGGCCAUUCAUCUUUAACAGGGGCCUGCUGAUUUGCAUUAACUUCGUGUUCAUGAUUUAUCUCAGAACCCACAUUGACAUUUUGCUUUGUUGUCUUGUUCUGUGGUCUACCCAUCUUCACAACUUCAGCCAUAGACCUCUGGCCUGGAGCUCCAAACCAUGCAGUUUGAUGUCCAGAAGCUGACUUUGAUGAUGAUAUUCCAUCUCCCAAGGUAACAGGAGGCAAUUUGUUUUCCAUAGCAAUGGGUUCACUGCAAAAGAUAAGUAGGAUACAUGAGAAACUUGUACAACCCAAAUAGAAACAUGUACAAAAACAUAAUCCAAGGGAAAAAAAUGUCAAAUUGAAAAGGCUAAAAAAGAGAAAUGAACCACUACCUACCAGUACUUCUCUAGUUAUUGGCUCAAAUCUUUCACAAACUAGAGACUUGUAAAACUAAUUGUGAUAUUCUACUACCUACCUAAGCCAUAGGUCAUAUAAUUACUUUAACCAAUCCAACUUAAGCUUUGUAUUCUAAUGUAGGAAAGGGCCUAAGAUCAAACAAAUAAUCACAGAGUUUUCCUAUUUGGUGAUAUCCCUUAAGCACAUCAUAAACUGGGAAUUUUGAAAAUCACUACUAGAUGGAUCCUACUAAUACAAUGAGUAACCAUAUGAGUAAAAUAUGAAAUCAAUUAAUUGAUUCAAUACGCAGCACAGAACUUCCACUAAAUAUUUCAACAGCAUCCCAAUUCCCAUCUCAAAAGUAAAGAAUCGCUCAAGGGGAAACCUGUGUGGUGUUUGAUAGGUGUUCGCCACUCCAGAAGCAGAAGACCAAGAACUUGUAUAACCCUGCGUUCCACUUUCUUUCUUAUUUGUAGAUUUUCCCUGGAAGUUUCCAGAAUCUGAACAACAGAAGCACAUAAGCAUGAAUCUUACGGUUAAAACUAAAUAUAUAUUUGUGUAUACAAGAGAUCAUGCUUAUACCAGUAGAGCUGAAAUGGGUAGAUCCACUUCGUCCGGCGUAACGAGCAGAACCACCUCUAGCACCACGGUUGUAGGUGUUAUUAGCACCACGCGGCCGAGAAUCUGAUAUAUCCCUAGUCUGAAUAGACAAAAAAAAACUUUUAAAAUCACCAAAAUUCUAGUAAAUUAAAACGAUUACUAGCUAAAACUAGAAUUCAUUUCACUCCAACAAAACAUCUAAAGUCAGGUACUACAUAAUAACUAGCUAGACCUAGACUUCAUUUGAUUCCAGCAAAACAUCUAGAGUCAGGUACAGCAUGAUGAUUGAUGACAGCUAGUAAUAAAAAAAAUCAUUGCCAGAUGUGUCAACAUAGAAAUUGUGUACAAGAAACAGAAGUUGAUUGUAUCACACAUGGUUGAAGCAUGUAAUGAUACAGAGAUUGUGCCAUAAGUUUGCACUUAAAACGCCAACACUGGACACCAAAAGCACACAACAAAACACCCCUGGGUCUAUUAUCCAUAAGAAUACGAUUUGUAACAUGGACUCACCUCUUUCUUCUUUUCUUUCUUGCUCUUUACCUCGUGAAAUGGAUCUGAAUAAGGAAAAAACAAGUAUCAAUAUCAUUAAUAAUAGAACAAAGACAAGCCUUGAAUCAAGAACUAAGAAAGCAAACCAUUAACAACAUCUUUCUUCUCUAUAAAACCGAACCAGCUAGAAAGUUGGACAAUUACAAGGGGAACCAUAUUAAAGGCGACAGCUUUAGAAUUGCACAAUGACUAAAUUCUAGAAACUAACAAAAACGAAAGUAUUGGUCUGUUCAGAAUAAAAACCCCAAUCAAACCCUAAUAGAAACCCUUAGUAAUUAAGUCGAUUUCGAGAAAUCCUCCUCGGGAUACAUGAAAACCCCAGGCCCAAAUUAACAAUCCAAAGACACAGCAGCUCAAACAAAUAGAGGAGGAGGAAAAAGGAGGAACCUUGAGAGAGGAGGCGACUAACGGUUUCGUUAGGAUCCAUAUUGCACUCUUUAAGCAUAGCAUAGAUCUCAGCCUCAGGAGAGUUUACAAUUUCCGUCAAGCUUUGUACUAUUUUUCUAGACCCUGACGGAAUAUCCUGAAUUCCUUUCCUUGCUCCGCCGCCGACCUUGCUGCUGCUCAUAUUUAUCCGCCGUAAGCUGCCUCUCUCUCUCUCUCUCUCACUAUAUCGGAUCUGAAGGAAAUAAACGAAGCUUUUGUGGCCUUCUCUCAGUCGCGACGACAAUACGAAGAACACCAAGGAAGCUCAAGGGAAGAUAUAUCUCUCUCUGUAGAAAACGAAACCCUCUCCAGAUUUUUUCUUCACCUUAUAGAAAAAAAAACAACUUUUCUUUUCCUUUUUUUUUCCUCUUUGCCUUUUUAAAUUUGAAAAAUUACUGAACCGGUUCUCUCGUUUAAACCAGCAGUGCUAAAUUAAACCGAACCAAAACCACAUUGCCCAAGGAUAAUAAAGAACGAUUGAUUUGGGUUUAUAUCGCUUCCGAUGAAAGAUUACUACUAGUUUGGAUUGCAACUUUGGACAGAGUUAAGCACAUGAACUUUCUAAGUAAAAGAAGAAUGUAUUACAAAAAAGGUUAGAGACAAAUGAACCAAAAAGAUACACUUGUUUACAAGAGAAGAGAAGAAACAAAUAAAGAGAGAAUCGCAACUGGGCUUAAUAAGCAGAUUCCUCAUGUUUCCGUUGUUUUCAGUUACCUACAAGUCUUUCAACUUUGUCUUGUUCGAUUUAGUACGACAACAGUUUACAAAAGUUGUACAUCUCCAAUCUUUAAAAUAACACAGUCACUAGUAAGGCAGAUGAACCCUUGAGAUUCCGCAAAAAGACUUAAAUCCCUUCGGGUGAGCUUGUUUGGGUAUCUCUCGGCUCCAAGAGACUCUUUAGGUGGUGUAAGCUUUGUCAUAGGAUCUACAACGAACAAGAAUCUUGUCCUUUAAACCUUGUGGCUCAGAAGGAGACGUUACCGUUUGAAAAAGAUAAUGACAAAAGCUUGGGAAAGCUGACUUCAGGGAAGAAGUUAACUCUUUCUACUCCUACUGCAACUCUCCAGCUCAGCACAAAUGGAAGGAUUCACCCUUCGUGGUGGAGACCUGACUUGGUCAAGCCAACACAAGCUAAAGAAGACCCAACAACCUCUGACUACCGCAGGAGAAAAACAGAAGGCAAACAAGUUGUAAAUGCUAAUUCUAAACAUGCUUGGCGUCGUAUUGACAAUUCUCGAUCUCAGAACUGGAACCCACCUGCAAAUGCUCGCUACUCAAAUCAUCAUACGACUAGGGAUGACUCUCAGGGCUAUGAUCGACGAAUUGAAUGGAGCACAGCUUCAAUUCCCCGAACACGGGAGAAACUUAUGAGACCUUCAGAGAUUAAGAACCCUUCUUCAGUCCGCGAGAUCCCUCCCUUUAAGGAUUCAGGUCGCAAAAGACGUUAUGAUGACACUCUGGAGAACCAUAAUCACAAGCCAUCCUCAUCAAAAGAAAGAGCUGUGACCCGCAGGAUGAACCAGAACAAAUCUCCAGCUGCAGCAUCAAAAUCUGCUGGUUUAUCCCAUGUCUCGGACUCGCAAUUGACGGUCUCUGAUCCUUUGAUCUCUUCACUACGAGUAAAACAAGGAGUUUCUUCUCAAGCUCUUAACAGAGAAAGACCUUUUCGCUUGAAUCUGAAAAAGAGAGGCGACUACAUUCAAUUGAAGCACGUGAUCGCCUCUGAGAAACUUACUAUUGGGGAAGCUCUGCAAAGAAAAGCCUAAACUUUGAUACUAUGACACAAGAUGAUGAAGCGUUUGGUCCUCGUAAUAAAUCUGACCUCUUGGUUAUAUCGAAGCAGCUGGACAAGGAGAAGAGUUGGUAUGAUCAAACUGUGGAAGAAGAGGAAAAUCAUGCUCAAGAAGCUCCUUUAGAAGCAAGAUUCUCCAAUGCAAUUCAUAUUGGAGAAUUACCGAGUGCUAAUCCUGAAAAUACAGAAAUUAACGCAUCAGAAAUGGAGAUUAAGAGUGAAGAAACCUGGGAGGAGGAAGAGGAGUUUAUGCAGGAAGAUGUCAACGACACAUAGCAAGGAGUGACGGAUGAUGGCGACAUGGAUUGGGAGGAGAAUAAUCCUGAGGAGGAUCAUCUUGAUCUUGACUGAGCGAUAGAAGAUGAAGAGAUUAUCGUGAAAUCGAAAAUUCCCUUCUAGACGCAGGAGAGAACUUGGAGAAUGAUGAUCUCUUAGGUGAAGAACUUGAAGACCUUAAGCAGAAUAACGUGAAAGAGAGCGACGAGAGGAAGAAGAAUCGUGUUUCUCCUUUUCCAGAUUUGGGCUUGGGCCACUCUAGGCAAAAAGGAAAAAAAGUAAAAGGCCUUAACUCCUAAAGCCCAAUCUGGACAGACUUGUAUUCAAGGUGCGGCGUCUAAAAAAUUGUUUAACCUUCAUGGGGGUUUCUCACCUAACAUGAGGCAGUCAAGACGUUCAGCAAACGGUCCAAGUGGUGAAGUUUUCCACUUGUGGUCAAAAUUGUGGUCAAAUCAUCUCUUGUUGGAAAAAAUCUACAAUAACAAACUCUGAGAAGCUGAUUUUGAGCCUACAAUCAAAAAUUGACGAAGCUCAAAAUAAUGAGAAUGUAUCAAUUGAUGAACUUUUGAAUCUUAAAUUGCAACUAUGUGGGGCUUAUAGAGAAGAAGAUAUAUUCUGGAAACAGAAAAGCAGAGUAUUGUGGUACAAAGAAGGAGAUUUGAACACCAAGUUUUUCCAUGCUACGACAAUGCAACGUCGUGCGCGGUAUAGAAUAAAUUGGUCUGCUAGAUCAAAAUGGGACUUGGAUAGACAAAGAAUCAGGCAUUGAAGCAUUAGUAGUGGAUUAUUUUCAAAAUCUUUUCUCUACAACAAACCCGAUUGAUUUUUCAUCGGCGCUCCGAGAAAUUCCUGAGAUAAUUACAGAAGGGAUGAAGGAGAUGAUUGUUAAGGAUGUUUCUUUCGAAGAAAUCCGAAGAGCUCUUUUCUCUCUAAAUCCUGAUAAAACACCUGGACCAGAUGGUUUAACAGCCGCUUUUUAUCAGAGAUUCUGGGAUAUUGUCGGAGAUGAUCUUUUCGCCUAGUCAAAGAUUUUUUUGUCUCUGGUACUUUUGACCAUCGUCUCAAUGAGACAAAUAUAUGUUUGAUUCCAAAGACGGAGCGACCGAGAUCAAUGACAGAAUUUAGACCGAUAAGUCUCUGCAACAUUGUUUACAAAGUUAUUUCAAAAGUGUUUAGCUAGCGCCUUAAGAAUAUCCUUUCGAAUAUGAUAUCCGAGACCCAAUCAGCUUUUGUAGCUGGUAGGCUUAUAGCAGAUAACAUUCUUAUCGCUCAAGAGAACUUCCAUGCUCUCCGCUCAAAUGUUGCAUGUAAAAAAAAAAUCAUGCCAAUAAAAACAGAUAUGAGUAAAGCGUUCGACCGAGUUAAAGGACACUUUCUUUGAGUUCUAAUGGAGAAAAUGGAAUUCUCCAAAACUUGGAUUGAUCGGGUUAUGUUAUGCAUUUUCUCUGUAUCAUAUAAAAUGAUUCUCAAUGGAACUUCUCGUGGAUUGAUCAAAUCAACGAGAGGUCUAAGAUAGGGGGACCCAAUAUCUCCUUUUCUUUUCAUCUUAUGCACGGAGGCAUUAAUUGCCCAAUUCAAAUCAGCUGAAUGGAAUGGCCACAUUCAAGGACUUCAAGUCUCAAAGGCAAGCCCAUCGACUUCUCAUCUCCUCUUUGCAGAUGAUAGUUUAUUUUUCUGUAAAGCGAAUGAAAGUCAGGGAAAGGCUAUUAUAGACAUUAUUCGUUCGUACGGCGAGGCAUCUGGACAACAACUAAAUUUCGAAAAUUCUCGGUGAUGCUUGGCAAGUACGUUGAUACACAAACUCGAAGUACCAUCAAAAGAACACUUGGGAUAUCCAACGAAGGAGGAAUGGGCACUUACUUGGGACUUCCUGAAAAAAUUCACGGUUCAAAAACCCAAGUCUUCGCUUUUGUCCAAGAUCACCUCCAUAGUCGAUUCAACACUUGGUGAGCCAAAUUCCUUUCCAAGGGUGGGAAAGAGAUUCUUAUAAAAUCAGUAGCUCAAACCCUUCUGACAUACGUCAUGUCGUGUUUCCUCCUACCUAAAGCUAUACGCUCAAAAUUAUCCAGUGCUAUCGCGGAUUUUUUGUGGAAGACAAGAGCAGAUAGUUAAGGGAUUCAUUGGAUUGCCUGGGAUAAAUUAUGCAACUAUCAGAAGGAGGUUUAGGCUUUCGAACAUUGGAGGCAUUCCUCCAUUUACUUAUACAGCUGGAGAGAAGUUUGUAACCUAAGCAAAUUAUAAAUUAAUUGAACAUAUGUUUUUCAUUCCACAGAAAUAUAAACAAGAGAAGAACAUGCUUCAAAAAUCACGUUGAGCCCUUAGACAAGAGAAGUAAGAAGAGGCAAGAGUUAAAAAAAAAAGUUUCAUUUCUGAAGUUGCAUUGAUGAAAUCAGAGUUGCAUGUUCCCUAAGUUAACAGAGGAGACAAAAGAUGAUGAUAAGUUACAUUUUAGAACACAACCAUAUUUCCUCUUCAGACUCGCCACACAAACCUCUAUAAGCGAGAGAAAGAAGCUGAAAAAAACCACUCUCUUUCUUUAUUUAGUAAGAGUUUUGCCAGAGCUGCUGCUGAGAUUGAUUCGACGGUUGACCAGCCUGAGACCCAGCACCAUCCCUAGGGUUUUGCUGCUGGCGCUCGAGUGACAUUUCGGUCUGAGACUGAUAAUAAUUUGGGUAUCCAUGAGAUCCAUAAUGCUGUUGUUGCUGAGCUUGGCGAUACCCUCCCGCUGCUUGCUGAGCCUGCUGUUGUUGUUGCUGGUGUUGUAGUUGCAGUUGUUGUUGUGCUUGGAGGUUGUAAUACGUGUUAGUCGGGACACCUGACAUGGUUCUGGAACCAUGACCCUGAUGCCACAUCGCCGAGUUUUCGUUCUGUAUAUUUAAGUCAAAAAGAGGAAGAACGUCACCAAAAUGGUUCAUGCCUGAAACCAAACGAAAGUGGCAAGGAAGUGACCAAAACGAGAAAGUACCUGUUGUUGAUGUUGCUGUUGUUGCUGCUGCUGCUGAAGUGCCAACAGAUGAUUCUCUUUGUAUUGAGAACUAAGAACAUCGUCAUAACCAAGCGUUGUACCGGUAGUAGCAGACUGUUGGUUAAGAGGGAAGUUUCCGGCAGAUCCGACAUUGGUCGAGUUUCCAAAUCCAUAAGCAGAGGCAGGCGCUGUUGCAGACUGAGGCAAAUUACCGGGAGAGACAUUGGUUUUGUACUGCGGAAGCAAUGCAGCUAGUUGCUGGUGGUAUGCACUAUUACCAGCAAAUGUUUGCUGGAAAGCAGAUGGCAUGUAUGGAUAAUUCUGAGGCAUUAGAGGAUAACCGAUCAUGUUUGCAUAGUGUGUUAGAGGUAAUGUGGGUUGAGAGUAAUGCAUUGGAAGCUGCUGAGGAAGAGCAGGUCCAGUAGCGAUAUUAGCACCAGGUAGUGUUUGCUGGGUUGGCUGUGUUGCCGGAAUUCCACUGCCUCGGAGCGCCUGCAAUGUAAAAGAAUAUAAAAUCAAAAUCACACACGUUUCACUUGUAAAAGAAGAUUCAGAUUUCGAAUCUGAAGAAACUACUGCCUUUGGCUAAGUAAGCAAAACAGUACCCAUGUGACAACUAACCAGUAACUACUACUUCUGAAAACAAGCUAAGAGAAAGAACUAUUUCAGUCCCGUGUUUCUCAAGGAGAAAGAAUUAUUUACCUCUGGCAUUGAAAUGCUUUGGCCACCAAGUGAUGAGGCAUUGUUGCUAGUUCUUGAUUGCAUAGACUGUUGAGCUGAGAAAGGUGAAUACUGGAAGUCAAGUUCCCUCGCAUUUUGUGCUGUUUGUGCCAAUAAAGUGUUGGGAACUGAGUGUGAAUACCCCUGCUGAGAUAAAAACAUACAAGAACUAAUGUUAACAUUCAAGAAUUUCAUGGGAAUCACUUCAGAGAUUACUAAGCUACUCUUCCAGCAAAAAUAUAAAAAGCCUGAUUGCAUUUUAAAAAGAAAAUUGAGUAUCUUAGAAGCUAUCACAAACAACUAUGAUUUUCAAAACCCUUUGAAACAUGGUUCUGUUAUAAAAAAUAAACAUGUAGCUUAC